rnacentral:piRNA from 1 species
GCAUGAGGAAGGUUGAGAACCACUGCU